UAAUAAGGAGAGUCAACUCUUGGAUUAACAAGAGUGAUCAAAAUGAAUAAGAAAAUCCAAGUAUUUUGGGGUAUCCAUGAGUUCAAAUUUGAUGCAGACAUGAUAAUUAAAGAUCAGAUUCAGGUUCAAAUUGAUAGGGAAUAGUAUCAGAUCAUGAU
rnacentral:sRNA from 1 species